ensembl:lncRNA
GUGUAACCCAGAGUAAAAUCUGUUUUACUAGCAUUUAGUAAUUUCCUGCACUUAUUUCCUGCCAUUGAACGCAUCACAAAUACAUGACUCCAACCACAUGACUUUGCUCAGCCAAUCGGAUGGCAUGUAGGUCAUAGUAAGCCUGUCCCGGCUUCCUCCCGUCAGAUGCGUGGAGGCAAGCCAGGUGACAGAGCUGUUGCAGACGCUGAUUACUGUGAGCCAGAGCCAUAGUGUUGUUGUACGCUGAACAGAACGGAAUUGGCCAGGUGAACCUUUUUGGGUAUGAAAAAGGAUGGCGGGCCAAUGAACGGCUAGGAGCAGGACUCAUUCUGCAUUGAAGCUUCCACUGGUUGGAGGCGGCGGCGAGAGGGGAGACCUCGGCUCAUCCAGCUGGACAGCCUGACCAGGAGGAGCCGAACAUUAACUCGGGUCUUCCAGGGCACCCUGCAGACUCGGCUGCUGGCAUUGGCGAGAGAGUGCGGCCGCGGCUGGGAUGACGUGAACGCCAAACAGGAGUCCAUCACAGGUCGACUGCAGCUCCUUGUCUCAGAGUGGGAGGGGUUUGAAGCACAAAGGGAGGAGCUUGUCAUUUGGUUGGCUGUUAUGGAUGUCCACCUGAGUGAGGUUGACCAGCUGACAGGAAACACCUGUGGAAAAACUGAAACAACUGCAGGUGUGGGGUUGUUUUGAUAUGACAUAUAUUUGAUAUGAUACACACGUCAGAGACAUUAUCCUAAACUGGACUAACAAAGGACCAUGAGUCCAACAUGAAACUUACUUUACAUAACGUAAGGCUGAAGUUCAUUGAUAAUUUUAAUCAAAAACUUGUUGCUGAAAUAUUUUUACUGAACAUGCAAACAUCUGCUGAUGAAAAUGUGUUGAUUUAUUGGUCUGUUAUGAAGCUACUGCUAUUUCUAAUGUGUUUUUAUCACUUUCUGAUGUUUUAUUGAACAAUACAUGUAUUAAUUGUGUUAUCUAUAGAUAUAGUAUUUAUAUAUAUUUAUUUAUAGUAUAGCAAAUAUAUUUAAUUAUUAGUGUUUAAAUGACUAAUAUGUGACAUGUAUUAGUUGUGAUGUUGUGCUGAGGGUUAAAAUGCCUUUUUGUCUUUUGGUAUAUUAUGAAAUGACAAACCAUUAAUGUCUAUGCUGUGCUCGUGUUUAUUUUUACCCUACUCCUAUUCAAUUUAUGAUACAUUUUAUUUUAAAAGAUUUAAAAUGGUUUAAAGAACCAACCAAAAAAAGUUCUUUAAAAU